ensembl:lncRNA
GGAAGAGAAAAGCGGCUUCUUCAAUGCUCAGGGCUCAGAAAUAUCACAAGGCAAGCAAGUAGAAAACCAAACUUUCCUCCCCUGAAUCUCUCACAAGAAGAGUGGUGUGUUUUACCUGUCAGUACAACAUCUAUGCUGAAGCUCUGGACACUGUAACCUGUUUAGGAUGACAUAAAGAGGUCGACAUUUUGGACAGAGGGAGAUGGCCUGUGUGUUUGCUACCCAUUAUGUUUUCUGUGACAUGAGAUUCAAACAUCUCUAGCUAAGGUUAAAAUGCAAUUCACCCUGCUGUUUUCAACCAGACGCACACUGCAGCUAAAGAGCUAUAUUUACGUGCCAGUAUAGAGAUGGGAAUGUUGCUACGAACAAUCUUUCAUUCUGCGAGGUACUGAAUACCAGGCAGGACACUGAAUGUGCUAUAAUCAGGAUUAUGACGAGAGAGCACAUUGGCUCUAUAGAAAGUGACCCUGAAUUUUUUACAGCAAAUACUGAAUACUAAACUGAAUAUGCCCAGAGUCACACUGUGUUCACUGUUCUGAAACUGUGGAGAGCAACAGUGAUAAGACUGUGGUUUUAC